rnacentral:rRNA from 1 species
CCAAUAGCGUAUAUUAAAGUUGUUGCAGUUAAAAAGCUCGUAGUUGAAUUUCGGGAUCAAUAUAUCGGUCGUGCCAUCGGUACGUACUGGUAUCAUUGGUUUCUCCUUUCUGACGAACCAUGAUGUCAUUAAUUUGGUGUUAUGGGAAGUUAGGACUGUUACUUUGAAAAAAUUAGAGUGUUUAAAGCAGGCAUUAGCUUGAAUACAUUAGCAUGGAAUAAUGAAAUAGGACGUUCGAACCUAUUUUGUUGGUUUCUAGGAUCAACGUAAUGAUUAAUAGGGAUAGUUGGGGGCAUUAGUAUUCAAUUGUCAGAGGUGAAAUUCUUGGAUUUAUUGAAGACUAACUACUGCGAAAGCAUUUGCCAAGGAUGUUUUCAUUAAUCAAGAACGAAAGUUAGGGGAUCGAAGACGAUCAGAUACCGUCGUAGUCUUAACCAUAAACUAUGCCGACUAGGGAUCGGAUGAUGUUAAUUUUUUAAUGACUCAUUCGGCGCCUUACG